UGCACGCCAGCAAGCUGGGCCCACUGC
rnacentral:piRNA from 1 species